rnacentral:rRNA from 1 species
GGUGAACGCUAGCGGUGCGCCUAACACAUGCAAGUCGAGCGGUAACGUUAUUUUUGAUUUCCUCGGAAUGAUUAAAUAUUGUGAGAGCGGCGAACGGGUGAGUAACACGUUGGUAUCUGCCCCCAAGUCAGGGAUAGCCAUUGGAAACGAUGAUUAAUACCGGAUAGUCUCUUCGGAGUAAAAAUUUAUUGCUUGGGGAGGAACCUGCGUUCUAUCAGCUUGUUGGUAGUGUAAAAGACUACCAAGGCUAUGACGGAUACCUGGUCUGAGAGGAUGAUCAGGCACAAUGGAACUGAGACACGGUCCAUACUCCUACGGGAGGCAGCAGUGAGGAAUCUUCCACAAUGGACGAAAGUCUGAUGGAGCGACACCGCGUGAAGGAUGAAGGCCUAACGGUUGUAAACUUCUUUUCUGAAGGAGCAUAAUGAGAGUACUUCAGGAAUAAGGGACGGCUAAAUACG